AUUGAACGCUGGCGGCAGGCCUAACACAUGCAAGUCGAACGAGUGGCGGACGGGUGAGUAAUGUCUAGGAAACUGCCUGAUGGAGGGGGAUAACUACUGGAAACGGUAGCUAAUACCGCAUACCAUUAGAUGUUACCAGAUGGGAUGAGCUUGUAGGUGGGGUAAUGGCUCACCUAGGCGACGAUCCCUAGCUGGUCUGAGAAGAUGACGAGCAAAACUGGAAUUGAGACACGGUCCAGACUCCUACGUGAGGCAGCAGUGGGGAAUAUUGCAAAAUGGGCGCAAGCCUGAUGAAGCCAUGCAGCGUGUGUGAAGAAGGCCUUCGGGUUGUAAAGCACUUUCAGCGAGGAGGUGUUACUCGCAGAAGAAGUACCGGAUAACUCCGUGCCAGCAGCCGCGGUAAUAC
rnacentral:rRNA from 1 species